UAGUCUACGCCGUAAACGAUGGAUACUAGUUGUUUGGCCUUCGGGCUGAGUGACUAAGCGAAAGUGAUAAGUAUCCCACCUGGGGAGUACGUUCGCAAGAAUGAAGCUCAAAGGAAUUGACGGGGGCCCGCACAAGCGGUGGAGCAUGUGGUUUAAUUCGAUGAUACGCGAGGAACCUUACCAGGGCUUAAAUGUAGGUUGCAUUAUCCAGAGAUGGAUAUUUCUUCGGACUACUUACAAGGUGCUGCAUGGUUGUCGUCAGCUCGUGCCGUGAGGUGUCAGGUUAAGUCCUAUAACGAGCGCAACCCCUAUUGUUAGUUACCAGCACGUUAUGGUGGGGACUCUAACAAGACUGCCGGUGCAAACCGCGAGGAAGGUGGGGAUGACGUCAAAUCAUCACGGCCCUUACGUCCUGGGCUACACACGUGCUACAAUGGUAGGUACAGAGAGCAGCCACUUGGCAACAAGGAGCGAAUCUAUAAAACCUAUCACAGUUCGGAUCGGAGU
rnacentral:rRNA from 1 species